rnacentral:piRNA from 1 species
UGCAAGAGUUCAAACAGGGCCAACAGCCUCCC